GACGAACGCUGGCGGCGUGCUUAACACAUGCAAGUCGAACGGAAAGGCCCUGCUUUUGUGGGGUGCUCGAGUGGCGAACGGGUGAGUAACACGUGAGUAACCUGCCCUUGACUUUGGGAUAACUUCAGGAAACUGGGGCUAAUACCGGAUAGGAGCUCCUGCUGCACGGUGGGGUUUGGAAAGUUUCGGCGGUUGGGGAUGGACUCGCGGCUUAUCAGCUUGUUGGUGGGGUAGUGGCUUACCAAGGCUUUGACGGGUAGCCGGCCUGAGAGGGUGACCGGCCACAUUGGGACUGAGAUACGGCCCAGACUCCUACGGGAGGCAGCAGUGGGGAAUAUUGCACAAUGGGCGGAAGCCUGAUGCAGCAACGCCGCGUGCGGGAUGACGGCCUUCGGGUUGUAAACCGCUUUCGCCUGUGACGAAGCGUGAGUGACGGUAAUGGGUAAAGAAGCACCGGCUAACUACGUG
rnacentral:rRNA from 1 species